AGGACGAACGCUGGCGGCGUGCCUAACACAUGCAAGUCGAACGCGCUCCAUUCGGUAGCAAUACUGAUGAAGAGUGAGUGGCGAACGGGUGAGUAGCACGUGAGCAACCUGCCCCGAAGACUAGGACAACACCGGGAAACCGGUGCUAAUACCGGAUACCCUUAUUGGACCGCAUGAUCCGAUAAGGAAAUGGAUUCCGCUUCGGGAGGGGCUCGCGGCCUAUCAGCUUGUUGGUGGGGUAAUGGCCUACCAAGGCUUCGACGGGUAGCUGGUCUGAGAGGACGAUCAGCCACACUGGGACUGAGACACGGCCCAGACUCCUACGGGAGGCAGCAGUGGGGAAUCUUGCGCAAUGGGCGAAAGCCUGACGCAGCAACGCCGCGUGGAGGACGAAUGCUUUCUGAGUUGUAAACUCCUUUCAGCAGGGACGAUAGUGACGUACCUGCAGAAGAGCACCGGCCAACUACGUGCCAGCAGCCG
rnacentral:rRNA from 1 species